AUGAGCUCUCCUAUUCAGUUCCUGGGUCUGCUAAUGGUGUGGAUUCCUGCUUCCAUUGGUGAUGUUGUGAUGACCCAGACUCCACUUUCCUUGUCUGUCACCACUGGAGAGCCAGCCUCCAUCUCUUGCAGGUCUAGUCAAAGCCUCCUAUAUAGUGAUGGAAAUACCUAUUUGGAGUGGCACCUGCAGAGGCCAGGCCAGAAUCCACAGCUCUUGAUCUAUAAGGUUUCCAAACGUGUAUCUGGCAUCCCAGACAGGUUCAGUGGCAGUGGGUCAAAGACAUCUUUCACACUGGAAAUCAGCAGGGUGGAGCCAGAGGAUUUUGGAGUUUAUUACUGUUUUCAAGGUACAUAUUUUCCUCCCACAGUGAUACAGACAAUAACAAAUACUUCCUUUCUUGAGGUGGACCAGCUGCUAAAAGUGCUGUUUGUCAGAAGAGGAGAACUUGGGGUUAUUGUUUGCAGAUGA